UACAGAGGUCUCAAGCGUUUGUUCGGAUUCAUUGGGCGUAAAGGGUGCGUAGGCGGCGCGGUAAGUCGGGUGUGAAAUCUUGGAGCUUAACUCCGAAACUGCAUUCGAUACUGCCGUGCUUGAGGACUGGAGAGGAGACUGGAAUUUACGGUGUAGCGGUGAAAUGCGUAGAUAUCGUAAGGAAGACCAGUGGCGAAGGCGGGUCUCGUGGACAGUUCCUGACAGCUGAGAGCACGAAGGCCAGGGGAGCAAACGGG
rnacentral:rRNA from 1 species